AGUAGCUGAUUCUGUUGGAUACUAGCCAAACUUGACUGAUGACCCAUUAUUUGUUGCUGAUGUGAUGGUAACACAUUUGAUUGCUGUGAAAUUGAUGUUGGCUGCUGCUGCAUAAGGGAAGAAGUUUGCUGGUGUAGGUUUGGUUGCUGAGAUGAUUGUUGCUGUCUGGCAAGAGAUUGUGGAUGUUGCUGAUGCAAAGACGAUGCAGACUGUUGAACUGAAUUUUGUUGAUUCUGCUGGAUCCCAGACUGUGAAACUGACUGAAUCAUUGACGGUUGAGAAUGUUGAAGUGGGAUCUGGUUGGACUGAAGACCCGAUGAUAUCUGUAUAAGAGGUUGCUGAGAAGAUUGAAGUUGGUUUUGCGACAUCACAGGCUGCUGCUGUUGCUGUUGUGGAAUUUGAGACUGCAACAGAGAUGACUGCUGCAUUUUCUGCUUGAUCAGUUGUUGUUGAUAAAGAAUAUGAUUUUGAGACUGUUGGUGU
rnacentral:lncRNA from 1 species